rnacentral:lncRNA from 1 species
CAAUCCUUUUAUGCAUUUUCAUUUUAUUUUAGCAGAGAAAUUAUUUACCAUGUUCAAAAUAGUUAUAGAUUAACAAGAUUCUAGUCUGUUUUAUUUAUUUUUGUUCCCUUGCUUAACCAAUUAUAUAAUCAUUUCCAAAAUGUAUUUUUAAAUAUGCAAAGCAGUGUGGCCAUCAUGGAAGGGUUAGGGAUUCCAGUCACAUAGAACUGAGGGGAAGGAAGAGUCUGGAUUCAGGAAACAGCAAAUAUAGAGUGAAUAUGAGUUCUAAUUAAAUUUAUUUUUAAAUUCAGAAACAAAUGAAUUGCAUACACAGAAUCUUUCUCUGCACAGCCAAGGAAAGAUCAUUUCUCCCCUUCAUUUUUAAGUUAAUGAAAUCAAAAUACCUACUGAUAACAAUAUUAGCAGAUGAAGCACUACCUGUGUUAAAAAAAAAAAAGAUGUGAGUCAAUUAGAAAUCAAGAUUAGAGGGGCUAGCUUUUGUCAGUUCCUUCUUCCUUCAUAUAGGUAGACACUGUUUUAUUGGUAAGGGCAGAUUGACCAGAUAUAUUUUUCUUAGGUGGGUUUAUCUGUCCUCAAAAUGAUUUACUCUAUGGAUUUGGAGAGGGUUCUUGAUUUAAAAUAAUGAAUUUGAAUCUGGAACUCCACGGUAAAAACAAAGAAAAGAAGAAAAAUGAAAGAGACAGAUUUAGAUGAGUUUUAAGUGUUCAGGAAAUUACCUUGAACAUGGAGGGUCAAGUUUGGAGAGCAGAGAGGCUUCAAGAAAAUUCCAAAUGGGAAAAAAAUCAAGAGACCAGAUCACUGCAUUUGGCAG